UCCUGAGUAACUCAGUUGAUAAGAGCAUCAGACUUUUAAUCUGAGAGUCCCAUGUUCAAAUCUCUGUUUAGGGA
rnacentral:tRNA from 1 species